UUUUUACUGCUCAUGACGACGCUGGCGGCGUGCUAUACAUGCAAGUCGAGCGGACAGAUGGGAGCUUGCUCCUGAUGUAGCGGCGGACGGGUGAGUAACACGUGGGUAACCUGCCUGUAAGACUGGGAUAACUCCGGGAAACCGGGGCUAAUACCGGAUGGUUGUUUGAACCGCAUGGUUCAAACAUAAAAGGUGGCUUCGGCUACCACUUACAGAUGGACCCGCGGCGCAUUAGCUAGUUGGUGAGGUAACGGCUCACCAAGGCAACGAUGCGUAGCCGACCUGAGAGGGUGAUCGGCCACACUGGGACUGAGACACGGCCCAGACUCCUACGGGAGGCAGCAGUAGGGAAUCUUCCGCAAUGGACGAAAGUCUGACGGAGCAACGCCGCGUGAGUGAUGAAGGUUUUCGGAUCGUAAAGCUCUGUUGUUAGGGAAGAACAAGUACCGUUCGAAUAGGGCGGUACCUUGACGGUACCUAACCAGAAAGCCACGGCUAACUACGUGCCAGCAGCCGCGGUAAUACGUAGGUGGCAAGCGUUGUCCGGAAUUAUUGGGCGUAAAGGGCUCGCAGGCGGUUUCUUAAGUCUGAUGUGAAAGCCCCCGGCUCAACCGGGGAGGGUCAUUGGAAACUGGGGAACUUGAGUGCAGAAGAGGAGAGUGGAAUUCCACGUGUAGCGGUGAAAUGCGUAGAGAUGUGGAGGAACACCAGUGGCGAAGGCGACUCUCUGGUCUGUAACUGACGCUGAGGAGCGAAAGCGUGGGGAGCGAACAGGAUUAGAUACCCUGGUAGUCCACGCCGUAAACGAUGAGUGCUAAGUGUUAGGGGGUUUCCGCCCCUUAGUGCUGCAGCUAACGCAUAAGCACUCCGCUGG
rnacentral:rRNA from 1 species